AGUUCGAUUCCAGGCUGUGACCAGACUAAUAAUAAUAAUAAUAAUAAUAAUAAUGAUGAUAUUAAUAAUGACGACGAUGAUGAUGAUGAUGAUGAUGAAUAGAUGUGAUGCGUUUGGGGAUACUACACACACACAAUGUGGUGGAUGUGAAUAUCGCUCUAUAAAGGAAAUGAAGCGAACGACAGGGAUAAAGAAGAAGUGCUGUGAACGAGUGUUGUAGUUUGAGAAAGUUGGGAGAUGGUGAGAAGGAGGAAGAGGAGGAGCAGGAGGGGGAGGAGGAGCAGGAGGAGCAGGAGGAGCAGGAGGAACAGGAGCAGGAGCAGGGGGAGGAGGAGCAGGAAGAGUAGGACGACGACGGCGGCGGCGACAUUGCAUGCUUUGGUCCCAAUUGGUGUCUUCUGAGCGGAAAUCGAACUCCUAAAUGAACUUGCAGCUGUUCGUUGCACAAGUAGGAUUGUCCAUCCGCACUCACUUCCGGCCAGGUUCAUCAAGGCUAAUCGAUUGAACAUUAGUAAACCCCACACUUGCCUUCCUUCUUUAACAACAACAUAAAGUACCAAAAACAACAACGACAACAGCAGCAGCAGCAGCAACAACAGUAGUAGUAGUAGUAGUAGUAGUAGUAGUAGUAGUAGUAGUAGUAGUGGUGGUGGUGGUGGUGGUGGUGGUGGUGGUGGUGGUAGUAGUAGUAGUAGUGGUAGCGGUGGUAGUAGUAGUAGUAGUAGUAAUAGUGAUGUUGUUGCUGUUGAAGGUGGUGGUAAUGAAAGUGGUGGUGCUGCUGGUGCCUGUGAUGGUGGUGGCAGUCGGACAGUAGUGAGGGGUGGAGAUAGUAAUGGUGCUGUUGUUGUUGGUGGUGGUGGUAGUGCUGCUGCUACAUGUUGUAGUGGUGGCGGUGGUGCUGGUGGUGCUGGUGGUGAUAGUAGCGGAUAAUGUUAGGGAUGUUGCCCAGAGUCGUCAAUGAUUUGCAAUGCUGUGGUUGUUUUUGCUAUUAUUGUUUCAAUGUUGUUGUUGUUGUAAUGUUGCUGUAAUUAUUGAUUAGCUCCUAAAUCAGCCCUAUUGCAGCAACACGUUUCCAUCCGUGACCACCUCAUCUUUUAUUUUCAUUGUUUUGCUGGGAUUUUUGGUGGCGAGUGCAAUUCCCUUUUGCUUUCAUUUUUUUGAAAGAAGAGGGAGUUUUAAAACAAUUUCACUAAAGUCUGUGUUGCUCUUGUGGAUCUUGCUGUUGUUGUAGUUGUUGUUGCUGUUGUUACCGUCACUUUUCGUGUAAAAUCAUAAUAUUUUACUCUUAUACUUGUGUGAGUCAUUACUGCAUAAACAAUUUAGGGGGCGAGCUGGCAGAAUCGCAGCCUUAAUUUCGCCGGGCGAAAUGCUUAGCGUUAUUUCGUCUGCCGCUAUGCUCUGAGUUCAAAUUCUGCCGAGGUCGACUUUGCCUUUCAUCCUAUCGGGAUCUAUAAAUUAAGUACUAGUGAAAUACCGGAGUCGAUGUAAUCGACUUGUCCCCUUCCCCAAAAUUUCCGGCCUUAUGCCUAUAGUAGAAAGGAUUAUUACAUAAACAAUAGGCGUAGGAGUGGCUGUGUGGUAAGUAGCUUGCUUACCAACCACAUGGUUCUGGGUUCAGUCCCACUGCGUAGCACCUUGGGCAAGUGUCUUCUACUAUAGCCUCGGGCCGACCAAAGCCUUGUGAGUGGAUUUGGUAGACGGAAACUGAAAGAAGCCUGUCGUAUAUAUGUAUAUAUAUGUGUGUGUGUGUGUGUGUCUGUGUGUCUGUGUUUGUCCCCCAACAUCGCUUGACAACCGAUGCUGGUGUGUUUACGUCCCCGUAACUUAGCAGUUCGGCAAAAGAGACCGAUAGAAUAAGUACUAGGCUUACAAAGAAUAAGACCUGGGGUCGAUUUGCUUGACUAAAGGCGGUGCUCCAGCAUGGCCACAGUCAAAUGACUGAAACAAGUAAAAGAGUAAAAUAGUAUCUCGUAGCUUUGAGAUUUUGAUGAUGUGAUUAUUUAUUUGUAGAAUAGCAUUGUAAGGUAGGUGUGAUGGAUCAGAUCUGGCCAAUUCGAACAUAAAGCAGGCAAGAUGUUUGGGUUGAAUAUGGACAGUUUAAAUGCUAAAGGGUUAAAGACAGACACUUAUUCUAUCGGCCUUUAUCCCGGCCGCUAACAUAUAGAGGCGUAUGCAAACCAAUACCAGUUUUUAAGCGCUGGCGAGGAUAAACACAAACACACACACACACACACGCACGCGCGCACACACACACACACACACACACACACACACACAUACGUACACACACACACAUAUAACACACUUGCAAACACACACAAUGUGGGCUUCCACACAGUUUCCCACUACGAAAGCUACUCAGAAGGGAUUGGUCAACCUCUGGCUAUAGGAGAAGACACUUGUUCGAACUGCCGUACAAUGGGACUGAACCCAAAACGAACUUCUUAAUCACACAUCCAUGCCUGUUCCUAGCCAAGCCCGCAUCAAUUUUUUGUUUGUUUGUUUCUUACGGUUUUUGAGAUGUACGAGUUGCCAACCAUAUUAUUAUGGCAAUCCUUCCUUUUUCCUCCAGCAUCGAUAUUUCAUAGAAUUUAUAGAAAACCAACGUAUAGCAUAGCACACAAUUUAACUAAGAAAAUAAGCUUCUUUCUUGCCCGAAGAAAACAUUAGCUACGUUUAAAGAGAACGUGGUGGUGGUGGUGGUGGUGGUGGUGGCAGCAGCAGCAGCAGGAGAGGAAGAAGUAGAAGUAGAAGAAGAAGAAGAAGAAGAAGAAGAAGAAGAAGAAGAAGAAGAAGAAGAAGAAGAAGAAGAAGAAGAAGAAGAAGAAGAAGAAGAAGAAGUAGAAGAAGAAGUAGAAGAAGAAGGAGG
rnacentral:lncRNA from 1 species